GGGGCUGUAGCUCAGUGGUAGAGUGCUCGCCUCACAUGUGGAAGGCAUUGGGUUCAAUCCUCAGCACCA
rnacentral:tRNA from 1 species